rnacentral:rRNA from 1 species
CAGCCCCUCGAGUGGUGGGGAUGAUUAUUUGGCCUAAAGCGUCCGUAGCCGGCCGUGUAAGUCCCCCGUUAAAUCCAGCGUCUCAAGCGUUGGACUGCGGGAGAUACUGCUCGGCUAGAGAGUGGGAGAGGUGUGCGGUAUGCUGGGGGUAGGGGCGAAAUCCUUUGAUCCCCGGAGGACCACCAGUGGCGAAGGCUGCUGACUAGAACACGUCUGACGGUCAGGGACGAAAGCUGGGGUAGCGAACCGGAUUAGAGACCCGAGUAGUCC